rnacentral:lncRNA from 1 species
UUGUUUUUAACUUUGAGCCUUUUUAAACCACCAUGUAGUAAUAUGUAUAUCCAUUGCUAACCACUUUGAGCUUUAGCCUUUAUUUUGGUGACGUGGCCUGAAACUCUUAGCCAUAUGACUUAAAAUAUAUUUUCUUCCCACCAUCUCUUUGGAGUUAGGUAAAAGUAUAGUUCUUAAAGUAUAUGAAAAUGUUUAAUUUAGGGGUUGUUAUUGGAAGUGAGCAAAGUUUUAAGUUUGGGGUUGAGGUACUAGAGAAUAUUGGUCAAAAAUUUC